UCUCCCAUUUUCAGUGGUCGCCGGAGUAAGUGGAGACUAUUAGUCGGUGGUUGGAGAGUGCUUGGUGCUGUUGCAGAGUCACCUUUCCUAUUUGCUGUUCUGCUUCCUCCGUCCGUGUUUUUAUCGGUUGUGGAAUGGAGCGAUGUCAGUUCUGGUCUGGGGGGAGUUUUUAAUCCUUCUCCCUGCUUCAUCUUGGCUGGUUUGAGAUCUGUGAAUGGAGAGAAGAGCUGAUUCAUCCAUUUCUUCAUCUCUCCCCUGCACUUCGUCUCUUCCCUCCCAUUCCUGGUGGUCGCUGGCAGAAGGGGAGCCUUGUCGCAGCUGUGCAAAGCUCAGAGCUGCUGGUUCUGCCAUCGCGAGCUUGAUCCACAGUUGUUGAUUUAAUUUGUUUUCUCUUUUGCAAGCUGCGUUCGGUUUUCCCUCUCCCCUGUGCAGCCAUCUAAACCAUCUCCUCUCUCCUUUCUUUCUGUCGUGGAUUUAAGUUGUAAAUUUGUCUUCUCUCUUUCUUCGGAUGGCAGCGCCUCUUGUUCUCUUCAUCCUCUGCAGUUAUUAGUGAUUAAGGAGGUUUGGAAGAAGAAGAUUUUGAUAGGAACUAAAAGGGAGAAAAAUCUUUGAAAAUUUGGGAACACCACAGUUCUAGCAGCUUUUCGUAGCAAGCCGCCUUCCAGUUUAUGGAAUCAUUCGCUUUCAUAGGAAUUUCCACCUGGUCUGAAUUUCUCAUUGUAGCUAUCUCCUUGAUCAAAAUUGAACAAUGGUGUUGAACCAAUGAGAAGAUGCUAAAGGAUCAGCAGCAAAUAGUGCAAAACAAGAUGUGCAAUGGGAAGAGUAGCUAGAGAAGAAAUAAACUUGAAAGAGAUGAAAACAACUCAAGAACAAGAGAGUUUUAAAGCUGAGGAAUAAGAAGAAAUGAAAAUGAGAUCCGAGAAAAAGACGCAGGAGCGCAUGGCUGCAGGAAACAAAGCGAAACAUGUGUUUCAAUCGGAUUCGUUUCUUAGAAACUUACAGAGAGAAAAAAGAGAGUCGUUAAUGUGGUUAUCGAAUAAAGGAAGCUGAUCCUGGAGAAGACACUGGCUGGAACAAAAAAUAAAGUGUGUUGAAACUUGAAA